AGAUAGUAAAAAUAUAAAUAAAAAUCUAUUUAUAAUGGCGGCAUUUCAUUUUAUUAAAGGAACCUGUUUUUUAAUCGAUAAUCCACGUUAAUUUUCACUUAAAUUAAAAAUUUAUAUACCACCAUCUAAAACUAAUUUAAUAAUAAUAUUUUCAAUAAAAAAUAAAAAGUUAGGUCAAGGUGUAAUUUAUAUUUAAGUUAUUAAUGGGUUACUCUAAAAAAAAUUAAAGGAUCUUCGUAUAAAAAUACUUUUAGAAAAAGGAUUUAUAUGUAUUAAUAUAAUAAUAUUUUAUUACGACUAAAAUAAUAAAUGUGC
rnacentral:rRNA from 1 species